UACGGAGGGUGCAAACGUUGCUCGGAAUCAUUGGGCGUAAAGCGCACGUAGGCGGUCUGGUGUGUCGGGAGUGAAAGCCCUCGGCUCAACCGAGGAAGUGCUUUCGAAACUACCAGACUUGAGUAUGGAAGAGGGUCGCGGAAUUCCCGGUGUAGAGGUGAAAUUCGUAGAUAUCGGGAGGAACACCAGUGGCGAAGGCGGCGACCUGGGCCAAUACUGACGCUGAGGAGCGAAAGCAUGGGGAGCGAACAGG
rnacentral:rRNA from 1 species